rnacentral:rRNA from 1 species
UUGGAGGGCAAGUCUGGUGCCAGCAGCCGCGGUAAUUCCAGCUCCAAUAGCGUAUAUUAAAGUUGUUGCAGUUAAAAAGCUCGUAGUUGAAUUUCGGGGUCAGUAGAUCGGUCAUGCCACUGGUAUGUACUGGCCUCACUGAUUCCUCCUUCCUGAUGAGCCGUAAUGCCAUUAAUUUGGUGUUGCGAGGAAUCUGGACUGUUACUUUGAAAAAAUUAGAGUGUUUAAAGCAGGCUAACGCUUGAAUACAUUAGCAUGGAAUAAUGAAAUAGGACGUUCGAUCUUAUUUUGUUGGUUUCUAAGAUUGACGUAAUGAUUAAUAGGGAUAGUUGGGGGCAUUAGUAUUCAAUUGUCAGAGGUGAAAUUCUUGGAUUUAUUGAAGACUAACUACUGCGAAAGCAUUUGCCAAGGAUGUUUUCAUUAAUCAAGAACGAAAGUUAGGGGAUCGAAGACGAUCAGAUACCGUCGUAGUCUUAACCAUAAACUAUGCCGACUAGGGAUCGGAUGAUGUUAAUUUUUUAAUGACUCAUUCGGCGCCUUACGGGAAAC